rnacentral:rRNA from 1 species
GACGAACGCUGGCGGCGUGCCUAAUACAUGCAAGUCGAACGAAGCUGUUUUAACUGGUGCUUGCACCGACUUAAACAACUGAGUGGCGAACGGGUGAGUAACACGUGGGUAACCUGCCCCAAAGCGGGGGAUAACAUUUGGAAACAGAUGCUAAUACCGCAUAACCACAGAAACCACAUGGUUUCUGUGUCAAAGAUGGUUUCGGCUAUCACUUUGGGAUGGACCCGCGGCGUAUUAGCUAGUUGGUAAGGUAAUGGCUUACCAAGGCAAUGAGACGUAGCCGAACUGAGAGGUUGAUCGGCCACAUUGGGACUGAGACACGGCCCAAACUCCUACGGGAGGCAGCAGUAGGGAAUCUUCCACAAUGGACGAAAGUCUGAUGGAGCAACGCCGCGUGAGUGAAGAAGGUCUUCGGAUCGUAAAACUCUGUUGUCAGAGAAGAACGUGUGCGAGAGUAACUGCUCGUGCAGUGACGGUAUCUGGCCAGAAAGCCACGGCUAACUACGUGCCAGCAGCCGCAGUAA